AGCGAAGGGCACGCCCCGCGCGGGUGCCAGGGAGGCCGGCAGGGGCGUCCGCGGUCGCUGCUCACCUGCGCUCCCCGCUGCCCGGCCCAGCCCGCCUCGCCACCGAGUCUGGAAGCCCACACUCACCCCUUUACCCGGGAAACGCGGCCGGAGCCGGCGGCGGGUCGGGAGUCCGAGAUGGUAGAUCCCCCUCCAGGCGCCUCGCUGACAUUUUGUCCCGGACGGAAAACCUCCGCGCGUGCCCCUUAAAGACACAGCGCUGCAUUCACACGUCUGCGGGGAAAGGGGGGCCGUCACGUGUGGCCUUCGCCCGAAAGCGGUAGGGGAGUCGCUCUGAAACCGCCAAGGAUCGCGAGCGACAGAUUUGUGUUGGCCAGGGUUUUAAGAUGACGCAAUAGCUGAGUGUGGUUGAAAUGUAACUAUUGUUUUACAACUUUGCAUUAACCUUCCAAGACCUGAAUUCCCGGGCCUGAGUCUCAGAGCGCGGUUUGCAUCUUUGCAGGCUGUAGGCGCAUGAUGUCACAAGUUAUUGGAAGAAAUCCCUCCAACCUAGGUUGGGACAGAUGAAGGCGGCGCUUAUUGGUGUUCACCAAAACACCAGCAUGGUGUACCAGCUUUGGCUAGAUGAUGCUCAGGUAACGAACAACCCCUGCAACUCAGUGGCUUAAAGGUCCAUUUCUCAAGCGAAUUACUGUGGCUGCAGGGAGCUUUGGCAGUACUCCACCAGUUUUCUUCACUCCAGGCUGAAAGGUCAACUUUUCUGGGCCAUGCUCCCUGCUGGGCUGGUAAACCAACUUUGAGGGAGAAGGGGGAAGUCCAGAUAUGUAGUGUUUGCUAUUUCUAUGAUGUAAAUGCUCCCACAAUGGCCGAUUUCAAGCUACAAACAGUCCAACAAGUGGCUUGCCAAGUUCCUGGAAAUUUAACAAUUAGCUCCUGUACAUGACUGGCACAAGCUGCUUUCCAAACUCACAUUCCGCAUGCCUCAGUUCUGCUCACUUUCUAUUGGUCAAAACUUGCUGUCAGUGGGUGGGGAAGUGUACCCCUCUCUUAAGGAAGCCUUGCAAGUCUUGUGACAAUGAAACAGGAGAGUUCCCUGAUUUCCUCCCGGCCCCCGCCCUCCCACAGCCCUUUGCAGGACGUGCAACAGGGUUGUGGCUCGUGUGUUCGGUCUCUGCCUGCUGAAACCCCUUAUGGGAGGUGGAGCAUGCAGACGGACGGGUGCA
rnacentral:lncRNA from 1 species